UUAAAAACGAUGAAGAGAAAAGUAAGAUUUCAAUAUUUUUACACAGAGAGCUUCGGUAGCUGAAAAGAAGCAAAGAAUAGAAAUCUGAACAAUGGCCUCUGAGUUUCGUGCUGAACGUAUCUUUGAUAUCAGUAGGUUCCGACGAGAUUUGGUACUCGUUAUCAAAACCACAGUAUAAAGAGUCAUAUUUUUUGCUGGCUUAUGUACUUGUUGAGGCUGUAUGUGCGAGCAUGCAGUGAAGUAAGGUGGUACCACGUUGAUUCCAACCACGUCCUUAUC
rnacentral:ncRNA from 1 species